AGAGUUUGAUCAUGGCUCAGAGCGAACGCUGGCGGCAGGCCUAACACAUGCAAGUCGAACGGAUCCUUCGGGAUUAGUGGCGGACGGGUGAGUAACACGUGGGAACGUGCCUUUUGGUUCGGAACAACUCAGGGAAACUUGAGCUAAUACCGAAUGUGCCCUUCGGGGGAAAGAUUUAUCGCCAUUAGAGCGGCCCGCGUCUGAUUAGCUAGUUGGUGAGGUAAAGGCUCACCAAGGCUACGAUCAGUAGCUGGUCUGAGAGGAUGAUCAGCCACAUUGGGACUGAGACACGGCCCAAACUCCUACGGGAGGCAGCAGUGGGGAAUCUUGCGCAAUGGGCGAAAGCCUGACGCAGCCAUGCCGCGUGAAUGAUGAAGGUCUUAGGAUUGUAAAAUUCUUUCACCGGGGACGAUAAUGACGGUACCCGGAGAAGAAGCCCCGGCUAACUUCGUG
rnacentral:rRNA from 1 species